UACAGAGGUCCCAAGCGUUGUUCGGAAUUACUGGGCGUAAAGGGCGCGUAGGCGGGAUGGCAAGUCGGUCGUGAAAUCCCUCGGCUCAACCGAGGAACGUCGAUCGAUACUGCUGUUCUUGAGGAUUGCAGAGGAGACUGGAAUUCCCGGUGUAGCGGUGAAAUGUGUAGAGAUCGGGAGGAACACCGGUGGCGAAGGCGGGUCUCUGGGCAAUUCCUGACGCUGAGGCGCGAAAGCGUGGGGAGCAAACGGG
rnacentral:rRNA from 1 species